AAGGCCUCCUUGUUUCUUCACCUUAACUUCUUCUGCUGAAUAAGAUUUUUAUAAGUCAAAAAGCAUCAAGGUGUCACUCAUUUCAUAAACUUUGUAACACAAUCUAUGUUUGCUGGUGAGGUAACUGAAACUCAACGAGAAACUGCAUUAACUAAAACACUUUUGUUUAGUAUUUCAUUUUACCAUUCAUCUUAUCAGGAACAAUUCAUCUUUUGUUGUUCAUCUACAGGGUAUUAGUGAGUUGAAGAUUGGCCUGUUAGGAAUGCUUGUUAGUUUGUGGUUAUUGCCUCUCAAAUAAGCCUCUCGUUUUGUAUAUUUUUAUCAUUUUCAAUCAAUCCGAUGAGUUACUUUUACGAAACUUCUCUUCUAUUCUUUAAACUCUAUACCAUGUGGUCACAUCAAUUCGACGUUAUUCUCUUUCUUAAGAAUUCAAUAAUAGAAUUAAAAGUCCUAAAUUAAGAUGAAAUGAGUGAGACAAGUAAUAAAUAGAGAGUAAUAUUUAUAAAUUUAUUAUCCUAUUAAAAUUUUAGAUUUAAGUUAGUGUCACGUCUCUCAUACAUAUUGGCUCAUAACUCAUGAAUCUUUUCAACAUAUAUUGAUUGUGUCUAAUAUGUUAUCUUUAAAACUUAACACUUCUGAUAUUGAGUUUCCAUUAUGCAGUGAGAAGAAACAAAAGUCUAAGAACAAACCACGUAAAAGCAAAAGAUAGAGGAUGAACAGUAAAACUUGUAUUUGUAUUUGCAUGCUCAAAAGCACAAAACCUAAAGGGUAUAUACAACAAUGAAACAACAAAAAAUGGGCUUAUAAGCAGGCCCAACAAAAAGAAAAAAAAGACAAAAAAAAAGCGUAGCCCAAUAGUCUUCCUUGAGCUGGAGAUUGAAAGCUUACCAACCCAAGCUUCAAAACAAUAGCGUUGAAUAUGGUUUCAUCAAGCAUCUUGGUGAAAAUAUCAAUAAGUUCUUCACAGCUUUUGAUACAAGAACAUCCAUUUUUUAUUAAACAUGUAUAUGAUAUUUUUAUUUCAAAAUAUUAUUAUUUAAUUAAACACUUUUAGAGUGUAGAAGGUAGAAAGGUUGUGCGUAUAGUAUUUUUUUUAUAGUAACAUGCACAAAUAGAUGGUAAAACGGGCGUUUUGGUUUAAUCAUCAUUGAUCCGCU
rnacentral:lncRNA from 1 species